GCUGCGGGUACUCGAGUGGCGAACGGGUGAGUAACACGUGGGUGAUCUGCCUUGCACUUCGGGAUAAGCUUGGGAAACUGGGUCUAAUACCGGAUAGGACAGCUGUUUAGUGUCAGUUGUGGAAAGUUUUUUCGGUGCAAGAUGAGCUCGCGGCCUAUCAGCUUGUUGGUGGGGUAAUGGCCUACCAAGGCGUCGACGGGUAGCCGGCCUGAGAGGGUGUACGGCCACAUUGGGACUGAGAUACGGCCCAGACUCCUACGGGAGGCAGCAGUGGGGAAUAUUGCACAAUGGGCGGAAGCCUGAUGCAGCGACGCCGCGUGGGGGAUGAAGGCCUUCGGGUUGUAAACUCCUUUCGACAGGGACGAAGCGUAAGUGACGGUACCUGUAUAAGAAGCACCGGCUAACUACGUGCCUAGCAGCCCGGUAAUACGUAGGGUGCGAGCGUUGUCCGGAAUUACUGGGCGUAAAGAGCUCGUAGGUGGUUUGUCGCGUCGUCUGUGAAAUUCCGGGGCUUAACUCCGGGCGUGCAGGCGAUACGGGCUGACUUGAGUGCUGUAGGGGAGUACUGGAAUUCCUGGUGUAGCGGUGAAAUGCGCAGAUAUGCAGGAGGAACACCGAUGGCGAAGGCAGUCUCUGGGCAGUAACUGACGCUGAGGAGCGAAAGCAUGGGUAGCGAACAGGAUUAGAUACCCUGGUAGUCCAUGCCGUAAACGGUGGGCGCUAGGUGUAGGGGGCUUCCACUCUUCUGUGCCGUAGCUAACGCAUUAAGCGCCC
rnacentral:rRNA from 1 species